rnacentral:rRNA from 1 species
GACGUAGGGAGCAAGCGUUGUCCGGAUUUAUUGGGCGUAAAGAGCUCGUAGGUGGCUUGUCGCGUCGGUUGUGAAAACCUGCAGCUUAACUGUGGGCUUGCAGCCGAUACGGGCGGGCUAGAGGCAGGUAGGGGAGAGUGGAAUUCCUGGUGUAGCGGUGAAAUGCGCAGAUAUCAGGAGGAACACCGGUGGCGAAGGCGGCUCUCUGGACCUGUUCUGACGCUGAGGAGCGAAAGCGUGGGGAGCGAACAGG